CCCAAGAUUAAUAAAACGUUCACACUCGCGCUGGCUCGUGUGCGUGCGCCUGCUACUGCCGCCGCCGCCGCCGCCGCCGUAUUGUUGAUAACGCGAGAGUCGCGGUCUGUGUUUAUUAUGUGUGCGGCGUGAUUAGCUGUUGGUCUCCCGUCGUUUCCCGCAGCCGUCCGGCACACCGCUCACGACAACAGAACAGUACGAUUUUUUCCGAACACCCGUGCCGUCUGUCUCCUGUUCCGAUUUUUUUUGCCGGCGUCCGCGGCCUUUGUAAUACGCACACUGUUCUUCCCCGUCCUGUCCGCCUGUUUUCGUCCGGCAACGCGGUCGCGGCGUUUCUUCUUUUCGUUUCGUUUUGGAUUUUUUUUCCGGUUUUUUUUUUUUUUUUUUUUUUAAAUAUAUUUUUUUCCUUUUUUUCGUUACCUAUUCGUUCACCGUCCCCUACACCCCCCCUCCCCCCAGGACACUGAUGUACUGCUACAAAGUCGGCGGCCGCCCUUCGUGACCAACAGGCGGUGUACACGGUUAGACUUUUCUGCCAGUAGGCCGCCGUGUCGUCCCGACUAUGGCCGAGAAAUGUGUCAAGGCGCCGGCCACCGGCAACCGACCGGUACCGAUGAAGCUGUUUGCCACCUGGGAAGUUGACCGCACACCGUCCAACUGUGUACCCAGAGUAUGUUCAAUGAAUUUAACAAAACUGGUACUAACCAAACCACUGGGAUCGGAUAUGUCAUCUUCGUUGACUAUAGCUGUAAAAAUGCAAGGAUCAAAGAGAACCUUACGAACAAAUGAAUUGCCCUUAAACGUAAAUGGAUCCCUCGAAAUAGAAUUGCAGUUAAAUUUCUGUCUUCAGUAUCCGCACUUUUUGAAACGAGACGUUAACAAAUUGCACGUAAUGCUUCAACGGCGAAAAAAGUACAAAAACCGUACUAUACUUGGCUUUAAAACAUUGGCCGAAGGAGUUAUUAAUAUGUCACUUGUACUACAAAGACCUCUUGAUCUCGAACUAGAACUUUUAAGUGAUCCCAAAGAUCCCAAGUCUCUUAUUGGCCGUGUAUAUAUCAUGUGCCUAAAUAGUCAACCUGUGGAUCACGAAGAUGCUACUAAACCUGUUAUUGGAAGGGGUCAAGAUUAUUCUGAUGAAGAUGAAGAAUUUAGUAGUGGAGAAGAAGCAUCUGAUUCUGAACCAACUUUGGAAGAUAGACGAAGAAAGAAAAAUAUUGCGACUGGAAAUGCAAGACAAAGAAAUCUGAAACAAAAGUUUAUUGCACUUCUUAAAAGGUUCAGAGUUAAUGAAGAUUUGCAUGCAUUAGAAAAUGAUAGGGAGACCAUAAGUCAAAAAUUGUCAGGCGGUGACAUGGAUCCAGCGGAUAUUGAAGAUCUUUUUGAGGAACUAGAAGAUUUGAGCGAUUCUGGACCUGACUUAGAUACAUUAUCUAUUUUAUCUACACCAAAACCGUCACUUCGUCCAUUCUUUUCAAGUUCUCGCACAAAUAUGAUACACGAAGGCAUCUCAGGACGGCAUUCCCAUAAGAAAAGUCACACCACAAGUUUUCCGCCCUACAACAGAACCAAAGGUGUGCCAACCGUAGAGCGUAACAUUGAAAGAUUUAGUGAUGAAAGUUCGAAAAAAGCGGAUUCCGAUUCGUAUUUGGACACUUGGACGGAUAGUGACCCUACUCCGAUGAAUUCGUCACCUCCAAAAAUUGGCAACAAUGACGACAAAAAGGAAACUUCUGGCACGGUAGAAAAGGAAAAAGAAAAGAAAUCGAGAAUUUUCACCAGGGACCGUACUUCGUCGUCGAACAAGUACAAGAAGUCUCCGAUGCCGAAGCAGGCGAAUGACAACGAUCGCACAAACGCUAAUACCGGGGGUACUGGAGGUGCGGGAGAAAAUGUAGUCUCAACGGUUGAGCCUAGAAAAGCGUUGAUGGAACAAUUGUCAAAAGUAUUGCCGCCCGAGGAUAAAAUGCCUGAAGUAUUAUGCUUAAUACACUACGGAGAUCCAUUGGGUUGUCAGCUUGCAUCCAAGCUGCAGAAUUACAAUUUCAAAGUCAUCACACCAGCUGGAUUAGCUGACGUGCGUGCUACUUUUGUGUGCAUUGUUAACAAGAUACAGAAAUACUGUAAUUCUAACCCCAAACCUCCAAAUCAAAUGAAGAUAUUGCUUGCUGGUUCUGAUAGCUUUGUAAACUAUGUAUUACGACAGUAUGUAGAACAGUUAUCAUUCAAACCACCCGACUGGAUGAAUUAUAUUAAAUUUUAUAUCAUACCAUUAGGAAAUAACACUCUCUCAAGAUACUUGGGUACAGUCGACAGUUAUUAUGGCACAACAUUUCUGUUCAAAGAGGACUACUGGAAGGAACAAUUGGAAUGUGGUGAUGGAACAGAUAUAAUAGUCAAAAUCCAAAAUUACAUUAUGGAAGCAUCUAAUACAAUUCAGUUGCAGAUUGCUGAAGCAAUGCUAUCAUAUAAAGAAAAAAGUUCUGAUGAUGAAGCCUUACAAACAUUUAUACCAUUUGUUAAUGAUGUGAGAAUAUGCUCUGGGGAUACAGCAUCAGGAUCAAAUGAUACAGAUGAUCAAUGUUCAAUCAUCAUGGAUCGUAAGUCCAUCUUAGAUAAGACAACACCGCCCAAUUCACCAAAUAUUGGUAUGCAAUAUUUGCCUCCGCCCACAAAGCAAGUCAAUUGGGAGCUAUGCGAGCCCUUAGAAUUGCAACUUGACUAUUGGUUGGUGCCAAACACUAAUAAAGAAAUAACUACUCGAGGCAGUGAACCAAGUAGUAAACGAGUGGAUACCAAAUUCACAUUAAAGACUGGUUUUAAGAGUUUACAUAUCUCAAGACUGUUUUUGACCAAUGAAGAACCACUAUCAUUUUUCACUGUGAGCUAUAUUAAGGAGAAAAAACAAAAAAUUAUGCGACUGGGAAAAAAGAAAGAAAAAGAAAAAGACUUAGACCCCAAGAAUCAAGUAAUUGACAGUGUAUUAAGAUUAAUCUGCUCACCAAAAACUCAACAUUUUCCUCUCACAAUAACCAUUGAUGGAUAUGAAUGGAGCGGUGUGAAAUUUUUCCAAUUAUCUUCACAGUGGCAAACACACAUCAAACAUUUUCCAGUUGCAGUUUACUCACUAGAUUAUCAACCAGCAAGUUUACCGCACUUAAAUCAUGGACUGUAAACAAAUAUCUAAAACUGGUAAUAAUACAUUACUGGUAAAUUCAAUAUAAGACUUGGCUUAACCAAUCAAACCCGGCUUAAUUUUCUUAUACUUAACAUAAAUUUAAAAAAAAAAUUGAACAACCUUACAUAAAAAGUGCAGAAGUCAAAUAUUAUUAUCUUUAACAAUAGGUAUUUUCAUUAAUUUUAUUAACUGAAUUAUAUAUCAUUCAUAAUUAUAUAAAGAAACCAUUAAACCCUCGUAAUUAUUGUAAACCCUUUAUCCAAUGUUUUUAUUGUUGUAACCAAAGACUACACGUUUUAUUAUUAUAAUUAUUGUACCUAAUUAUCUUACUACUAUUUAUGUGUGAUUUUUAUUUAUUUGUGAUUUUAUAAGUUUAACUACCAAGACUUUUUUUUAUGAAAAGAAUUUUUAUAAUAUAAUAUUACUAUUAAAAUCAUUUAAAACGUUUGUAAUAACGCUUGAUAAUUAAAUUCAAUAUUAUUAUUGAAAUAUCAAUAUCAAUAGACUUAAGGAAUAUAACUAUAAUUAUUUUAUUCUUAUUAUAUUGCUAUAGCUAUUAUAAUUACUAUCAUAUUACUAUUAUUAUUAUUAUUAUUAGCAUUUUAUCAUUAUUAGUAUUAGCAUUUUAUUAUUAUUACCUAUAGAGUAGAUAUAAAUACAUCACAAUAACCAAUGGCAGUAUCUUACAUGACUAAUGGUUGGGAGACACAUUUCAUCAACAAUAUUUUAGAUCCCUGACUACUACAAUUUGGAUCAAACAGAUAGCAGAAUUGUAAGGAACAAUAUUAUCAAAUCGAAUCUCAUGAACAUAUUAACUGCCUUAUUUAACCAACAAGGCUUUAUUUUAUUUCUUUUUUCUUAGCUCAUAAACAAUAAUACACUACCAUUUAAGGGUUAAAAUCAAACGACAAAAUAAAUGUUAUUAUUGACUAUUGUAAUUAAAAAUAAAUGUGUGUGAUACCAUUCAA